GAUGAACGCUAGCGGCAGGCUUAACACAUGCAAGUCGAGGGGCAGCGUGAGGGUUAGCAAUAACCCUUGACGGCGACCGGCGCAAGGGUGCGUAACGCGUGAGCAACUUGCCCUUAUCAGGGGGAUAACCGGUGGAAACGCCGACUAAUACCCCAUGGCAUUGAGUUGAGGCAUCUCUACUCAAUUAAAGAAUUUCGGAUAAGGAUAGGCUCGCGUGACAUUAGCUAGACGGCGGGGUAACGGCCCACCGUGGCUACGAUGUCUAGGGGUUCUGAGAGGAAGGUCCCCCACACUGGAACUGAGACACGGUCCAG
rnacentral:rRNA from 1 species